rnacentral:rRNA from 1 species
UACGGAGGGUGCAAGCGUUAUCCGGAUUUACUGGGUUUAAAGGGUGUGUAGGCGGUCUUUUAAGUCAGUGGUGAAAUCUCCGGGCUCAACCCGGAAACUGCCAUUGAUACUAUUAGUCUUGAAUUUUGUUGAGGUAGGCGGAAUAAGUCAUGUAGCGGUGAAAUGCUUAGAUAUGACUUAGAACACCAAUUGCGAAGGCAGCUUGCUAAACAAACAUUGACGCUGAGGCACGAAAGCGUGGGGAGCAAACAGG